rnacentral:misc_RNA from 1 species
GUUGGUUCAUUCCUCCUAGCCUUAUAUUCCAUUUUUCCAGUUGUUGGAUCCAAUAUCACCCAUCUCUCGUUCCACUUCCUCAGAGUCUCAGAUCGUUUGAGAAGUGGCCCCUGUAGUAAAUUCCUGCCAGAACCAGAAGCCAAUUGCCGUUUGAUAUUCUCUAGACUUGUCUUUGUAUACGCAUCUCCCUGAGGAGCUCCAUUAGAAGCCAUUGUUGAAGAUGCUUUGAAGAAAUGAAGAAAAUUGGAAGGCGUUUAGUUAGGAAGAACGAAA